GUUGCAGCGAUUUUGUUUUCGGCCUUCUAAGCCGUAGGCCACUGGUUCGAAUCCAGUCGGGCAGGCCA
rnacentral:tRNA from 1 species